rnacentral:rRNA from 1 species
AGCGGAGGAAAAGAAACUAACUAGGAUGUGCUUAGUAACGGCGAGCGAACCGCGCAAAGCCCAACUUGAAAAUCUCCCUUGGAGAAUUGUAGUCUAUAGAAGUACCCUCUGUAACGGGCGCAGCUCAAGUCUCCUGGAAAGGGGCGUCAGAGAGGGUGAGAACCCCGUAAGCUGUUGCUUUGUUGCCUCACGAGGUGCUUUCAAAGAGUCGGGUUGCUUGGGAAUGCAGCCCAAAUUGGGUGGUAAAUCCCAUCUAAGGCUAAAUAUUGGCGAGAGACCGAUAGCGAACAAGUACCGUGAGGGAAAGAUGAAAAGAACUUUGAAAAGAGAGUUAAAAAGUGCUUGAAAUUGUUGAGGGGGAAGCGUUUGAAUGCUAGAGUGCGCCUAGGCUUAUGGGUUCUUAACGGAGCUCUGUAUGUGCUAGGUGCUGGCCAGCAUGGGUUAGGCGAGCGGGAUAAACGCUGGGGUUGAUACCCGGUCUAUGCCGCUUGCUUGACCAAGGCGUGAAGACUGCCCUUGUCCUUCGGGAACUGCAGUCUCAAGAUGCUGGCAAAAGGCUUUCAACCGACCCGUCUUGAAACACGGACCAAGGAGUCUAACAUGUAUGCGAGUUGGUGGGUGGAAAACCCAUGAAGCGUAAGGAAACUGACUGGUGAGAUGGCCUGUGCCUGCAUCAUCGACCGACCAUGCGUUUCUGCAAAAGGUUUGAGUGCGAGCAUACCUGUUGGGACCCGAAAGAUGGUGAACUAUGCCUGAGCAGGGUGAAGCCAGGUGAAAACCUGGUGGAGGCUCGUAGAUGUGCUGACGUGCAAAUCGCUUACGACUUGGGUAUAGGGGCGAAAGACUAAUCGAACCUUCUAGUA